AAAACACUUUUUCGAAACUGUGCGUAUUGGUUUUGCGACACAAGCAUCGAUGCGUCAGUGCCAUACGUCCCAUCCCUAGUCACGCAGAUUAACCGAAUUGACUCGGCUGCUCUCCUGCUGACGUGGCCAAUGAUGUCCAGUCAAGAAGAACAAGCGGUCAUUCAGACCCCGAAAUGGAAGCUCAGAUGAUCUUAAGGCAGCCAAUGAGAUGCCAACAGUAAGAAGGUAAAGGGAUGGGUCAAGUACCAGAUGAACUUAACCUGUGGCUAUGACAGCAGCAGGAGGAAAGGGCAGGUUCUGCCCCCUGCGCAAGUCAAGCGUCUGGUGCACGAUACCAGGGAGAUGGCAGGUCUUCAAACCAGCAAUGUAAUGCACCGAACUCGUCAGCUGACCUUCCUGAAGCCAAUGAGCUGUCAGCUGUCCUGGUCCCAAAGGCAUGUUUGAAGAUGGCUGGCAGCAUCUGCUCUGACAGUAGAGCAGCAGUCAGUAUCACAUGAUCGCACCAACCCCAUAGCCAGAGGGACAAGAGCUGCUACUGCAGUCUGUCUUGGUGUAUCUGUGCACACGUGCUUCCCAGGGACAUGUGUAUGUUGGAUAAGAGUGGUGGAGUUGGUGGGUGAUAUUGGAAGGUGAAAUAAUAUUGACAUGGUGAAACAAUAUGAAUAUUGCAAAAUAAAGUAAUGCAAAUUA